UCUGAGACAGCUGAGCACGGGGGGACCCUGUCUCAAGGGGGACAGUCCCCCUCUCCCUGCCGCCUUUCCCUUUUGCACAGGGGGCAGUCUGAAUCCCA